rnacentral:rRNA from 1 species
AGUGAACGCUGGCGGUAGGCCUAACACAUGCAAGUCGAACGGCAGCACAGUAAGAGCUUGCUCUUACGGGUGGCGAGUGGCGGACGGGUGAGGAAUACAUCGGAAUCUACUUUUUCGUGGGGGAUAACGUAGGGAAACUUACGCUAAUACCGCAUACGACCUACGGGUGAAAGCAGGGGAUCUUCGGACCUUGCGCGAUUGAAUGAGCCGAUGUCGGAUUAGCUAGAUGGCGGGGUAAAGGCCCACCAAGGCGACGAUCCGUAGCUGGUCUGAGAGGAUGAUCAGCCACACUGGAACUGAGACACGGUCCAGACUCCUACGGGAGGCAGCAGUGGGGAAUAUUGGACAAUGGGCGCAAGCCUGAUCCGGCCAUACCGCGUGGGUGAAGAAGGCCUUCGGGUUGUAAAGCCCUUUUGUUGGGAAAGAAAAGCAGCAGGUUAAUACCCCGCUGUUCUGACGGUACCCAAAGAAUAAGCACCGGCUAACUUCGUG